AAUCUGACCAUGAAGGAUUCUGGGUCGUAUCUUUGUGGCAUCCAGAGAAACUCAGGAAUGGAUGUUUUCUCUGCUGUUCAGCUGGAGGUCAAAGAAUUGCUCUGUCUGAAGUCAUACGACAUCAGCGGCCUUGUGGGACAUGCAGUGACUCUGCGGUGUCCUAAUCCACCAGAACAGCGAGACAGAAAGAAGUUCCUCUGUAAAGGAGAGCAACACAACAACUGCACAGAUAUGAUGGAGAACCAAAUGAAGUUCAUGCUGCACAAUGUUUCCUCCAUCUGUUUCUCUAUGACCAUCACAGAAUUGGAAGCAGCUGAUGCAGGAACAUACUUCUGCGGCUCAGACGCUCAGCUGAGCUACACAAAAAUAAAGCUGACAGUAGGUGAGAUCCGCAAAGUGGUAAAUAAAUUAAUAUAAAGCACCUGAAAAUCUAGGCCAAGGCUUUUUACCACAGCACGUUUCAUUUUUGCCUCUGACAGUCUCUCCACAUCAAAUCAGCUCUGUGGCUUCGAUCAGCACUGCUGAACAAGUCACAUCACAGCCACCAUCAACACGUGUUCCUGAUGUGACUUUAUUUUACAUUCUGCCUACAGUCUUUGCUCUGCUGUUGGUCCUGACAUUUGUACUUUUAAUGAUUUUAAAGUACAAACAAAGCAGAAAACCAGUUGAUGGAGUCAAAGUUAAUGCAUCUAGCUCUGAUGAUGAUGCUGUGGAGAUGACGAUUAAUGAUAUUUAUGAUUUACACGAGGAUCAGGUUUACAUGAACUGUUCCAGUCCACCAACCAUGUUGAGUCAUGAGGACAAUGAUAUCUACAACAACACCCUGUACAGGAGUGGAGACCUGGUGCAAUAAGGAAACAUGUGACUAGUGUUUAACAGCUUAUUAAAUCAGCCAAAUGCUUCUCUAUUUUUAUUUAGACAAGUUUACAAUAUUUUAGUUUCCAUAUCAAAUGUGACGAAGUGUGUUAAACCAUGUUAAGCUACGCCAUACCCUGAUGGUGGUGAGCUGUAUUUGUAGCCAUAGCUGCUCUGGGGCAGACUGACAGAAGCGAGGCUGCCAUACAUUGGCGCCACCUCUGACCUCCGCCGGCAGGCAAUGCAGGUGAAGUGUCUUGCCCAAGGACUGAAACGGUCUAACCGGCAACCAGCUGUUUACAGGACAAAUUCCCCAACUCUUGCGCCACUGUCUGCACCUUUUACUGUAUCCUAAAAGUGUAAACUCUCUCUGUCAGCAACAGUGUUUGAUAUGGGUAAUAUGGCUCUCUGGCUAGAGAGCCACAGGCUGGAGGGAUAAGGAGUCUAGGGAAAUAAGUAAUUUUUUUAUUAUUUUCUUCAACAGCUUCAUGUCCACUAGGUUCCAAUCUACCUAAGUUCAGGUCUGUACACAGGUCCUGGUAAAAGUCGUCCCAAAUGACCUGAUGAUGGUAGCAGAUAUUGGUUUCCCCCUUGCUACUCAACC